CUAUUUCUUCCUAAACAGACGGAUCUGGACGUUUAAGAUUUAUCUGAACCAAUCACAGAGCUUCACUUUUUCUAAUGAAUCAGAUUAAAAUGAUUCCUGACUUGAUAACUUUCAGCCUCAUAACACAGAAACUGUAAUUUGUUUUACAGCUACUGUAAAACCAGAGAGCAGAGGAAGUUCAUCUGAGCGAACCACCAGUGAUGCAUCCACUCUGAAAGCUUUCUACCAGAACCUCAGCCCGGCCACCAGAGACCAGAACCAGAUCUACUGCACUCUGGACAACUGAAAUGAGAUCCUGAAUUCUGAUUUCAGGUUUUCACCUGAAAUAUGAAGAAAACUGAAAAUGAACAAUAAUGUUUUGAAUAAAGCAACUUAAAG